UUUUAGUUUAUUAUAAAAUUACUGUCCUCCUUGUGGGGUUGGUGUGCAAUGGCUGCAAAGAGCAAGCCUCCUCAGUAGUGUAUGCAGCCUGUUGGUAUGUAUAGGUUGCCUUAAGGGAUCUUGGGAGGUUACC
ensembl:snoRNA SNORA70 Small nucleolar RNA SNORA70